GACGAACGCUGGCGGCGUGCUUAACACAUGCAAGUCGAACGGAAAGGCCCUGCUUUUGUGGGGUGCUCGAGUGGCGAACGGGUGAGUAACACGUGAGUAACCUGCCCUUGACUUUGGGAUAACUUCAGGAAACUGGGGCUAAUACCGGAUAGGAGCUCCUGCUGCAUGGUGGGGGUUGGAAAGUUUCGGCGGUUGGGGAUGGACUCGCGGGUUAUCCGCUAGUUGGUGGGGUAGUUGCUUACCAAGGCUUUGACGGGUAGGCGGCCUGAGAGGGUGACCGGGGACAUUGGGACUGAGAGAGGGACCAGUCUGCUACGGGAGGCAGCAGUGGGGAAUCUUGCACAAUGAGCGGAAGCCUGAUGCAGAAACGCCGCGUGCGGGAAGACGGCCUUCGGGUUGUAAACCGCUUUCGCCUGUGACGAAGCGUGAGUGACGGUAAUGGGUAAAGAAGCACCGGCUAACUACGUG
rnacentral:rRNA from 1 species